GAGUUUGAUCCUGGCUCAGGACGAACGCUGGCGGCGUGCCUAAUACAUGCAAGUCGAACGCGAGCAGCAAUGCUCGAGUGGCGAACGGGUGAGUAAUACAUAAGUAACCUGCCCUAGACAGGGGGAUAACUGCUGGAAACGGCAGCUAAGACCGCAUAGGUAUGGACACUGCAUGGUGACCAUAUUAAAAGUGCCAAGGCACUGGUAGAGGAUGGACUUAUGGCGCAUUAGCUGGUUGGUGAGGUAACGGCUCACCAAGGCGACGAUGCGUAGCCGACCUGAGAGGGUGACCGGCCACACUGGGACUGAGACACGGCCCAGACUCCUACGGGAGGCAGCAGUAGGGAAUUUUCGGCAAUGGGGGGAACCCUGACCGAGCAACGCCGCGUGAAGGAAGAAGGAAUUCGUUCUGUAAACUUCUGUUAUAAAGGAAGAACGGCGGAUAUAGGGAAUGAUAUCCGAGUGACGGUACUUUAUGAGAAAGCCACGGCUAACUACGUGCCAGCCGCCGCGGUAAUAC
rnacentral:rRNA from 1 species